rnacentral:misc_RNA from 1 species
GAAAUGCGAUACGUAGUGUGAAUUGCAGAAUUCCGUGAACCAUCGAAUCUUUGAACGCAAAUUGCGCUCGAGGCCUCGGCCAAGAGCAUGUCUGCCUCAGCGUCGGCUACUACCCUCAACUAAGUUUCCUAUUCUCAUAGGGGAUGCCGGUUGGAUCUGGCUGUCCGGUGUUCCUUGCAGGAUGCCGGUCAGCUGAAAUACAUUCACGCACUGGGGACUGCUUUCCUUUCGGGGAAAGGCGAGUUCCGAUUUGGUAGGUGACCUUUGCCGGUUACAUGCCUUCGUUGCCCGCUAAGCUUCCCAGUAAGCGUUGUGCAGGACGCCUUUUGGCUUUCGACCUGAGGUCAGGCAAGAACACCCGCUGAACUUAA